rnacentral:rRNA from 1 species
CUCUGGCGCCCGCCUUUCUCUCGUCUCUUUGAACGGUUUUUUUUUUAAUCGCGGAUGGCGCUCUAGGGUCCCGCCUUCGCUCUGGGGACCGUGCGCGAGCGAGAGAGAUAAGAUCUCUGGCCACACACCUUGUAACAGUCCGAUAGGCAGCAGUACCUCUCAGUUGAGGCCACAGCUGACUAGCGCUCUGCUGAGAUGAGUAGAGACAGUAAUAACAAACUUCACACGAUCUCUGGUCGGCACGAUGAGACGCAGCGACAUGCGAUAGUAAUGGAGUGCAGAUUCAGUGAAUCAUCGAAUCUUGAACGCACAUGCGCCCUAAGUAUUCCGGGGGCACUCCUUUCGAGCGACAUAUGUACCCUGGAGCAAUGCUUUGUGAUGGCCCCCGUCCUCGCGGACGGGCCCGAAACCCGUGGGCGCCGUCGUCCGGCCCUGAGCGUAGCAAGAGAAAUCCCUCGAUCGGAGUGUCUGUCGGCAGGCCGCCCCGAAACCCAUAUUUACAAGGUGGCCUCGGAUCAGGUGGGGAUACCCGCUGACUAUG